UACGUAGGGGGCAAGCGUUGUCCGGAUUUAUUGGGCGUAAAGAGCGUGUAGGCGGCCAGGUAGGUCUGCUGUGAAAACUCGAGGCUUAACCUCGAGAUGUCGGCGGAAACCAUCUGGCUAGAGUCCGGAAGAGGAGAAUGGAAUUCCCGGUGUAGCGGUGAAAUGCGCAGAUAUCGGGAAGAACACCCGUGGCGAAGGCGGUUCUCUGGGACGGUACUGACGCUGAGACGCGAAAGCUAGGGGAGCAAACAGG
rnacentral:rRNA from 1 species